UUAUUUAUUUUGGUAUAAGACUAUUAUGUUCAUGAUUCAUAUCUAUUUGCCCCAUCUGUUUUUGUUCUCUCACCUCAUUUAAAAUGCAAUUGUUUAUUAUUGAAAUCUAUGUUUAAUAAAGGCAUCUGAUAAAAAUAAAGAUAGAAAGUUUUAUUAUAUAUAGAUUUAAUAUGUAUAAGCAAAAGAAAUUUCAAAUUUUGCUGUCUAUAAAUUUCUGUACACUACAGUCUUAGACGUUUCAAACAUCUAUGAAUAAUUAAUAAAAAUAUUUGAAAACC
rnacentral:lncRNA from 1 species